UCCGGAUAAGAUUUUGCGCCAAAUUUAUGUUAAUCUUGCAAAUUUGCAGAGGGAAGGAGAUAAGUUUGCCACUCAUAUCCAGGAGAACUUGAGAUUAAUUGUUGCAGGUGGUGAUGGAACCGCAGGGUGGCUUCUUGGAGUUGUUUCUGAUCUCAAGUUAUCUCAUCCACCAGCAAUUGCAACAGUGCCCUUAGGAACAUGAAACAAUCUUCCAUUUUCAUUUGGCUGGGGGAAGAAAAAUCCUGGGACAGAUGAAAAUGCGGUAAAGUCAUUUUUGCGUCAAGUAAUGGAUGCUAAGGAAAUGAAAAUCGACAGCUGGCAUAUUAUGAUGAGGAUGCGGGCUCCAAAAGAAGGUCCAUGUGACCAUAUUGCUCCUC